AGAGUUUGAUCAUGGCUCAGGAUGAACGCUGGCGGCGUGCCUAAUACAUGCAAGUCGAACGAGGUGCUUUGUAGCAAUACGAGGUAUCCUAGUGGCGAACGGGUGAGUAACGCGUUGGUGACCUACCCCAAAGUGUGGGAUAACAGUCCGAAAGGAUUGCUAAUACCGCAUGUGGUCUUCGGAUUUAGAAACUGAUGACUAAAGGAGCAAUUCGCUUUGGGAGGGACCUGCGUCCCAUCAGCUAGUUGGUGAGGUAACGGCUCACCAAGGCGACGACGGGUAGGGGACCUGAGAGGGUGGCCCCCCACAAUGGAACUGAAACACGGUCCAUACACCUACGGGUGGCAGCAGUAGGGAAUAUUGCUCAAUGGGCGAAAGCCUGAAGCAGCAACGCCGCGUGUGCGAUGAAGGCCUUCGGGUCGUAAAGCACUUUUCUGAGAGAUGAGAAAGGACAGUAUCGUAGGAAUAAGUCUCGGCUAACUACGUGCCAGCAGCCGCGGUAAUUC
rnacentral:rRNA from 1 species